AAGGAAACAGACGCUGAAACUGAGACAACACAAGCUUUAUUCGAGGGCCAGAAAAUGGAGACGAGAACAUAGUUCACAGGUUAUCUUCUCCUUUGGGAGUGGUGAUAAAGGCAAGAUUUUUAAAGGCCUUUCCCUGACAUCUCUUAAAACAAUUUUCAGAGAAGGAAACUGAAACUUGGAAGGAUGUGUUAACUUCUCCCCAUUGUGGUGGUCUGUACCUGGCUUACCAGGAUACCAAUUUAGUGUCAAUUUGGAGAGUCACAUAUUCAGACAAUAAGGAAACAUGCAAUCUGUGAACGGGCUUCAUAAUUCCAGUGACAAGCAUUUUCAAUAAUGACUAAAAUAUUUGUGAUCUGGUGCCCAAAGGCCAGCUUUUUUCCCUUUCCUUGUUAACUGCAGAGACAGCUCCGACCAUAUCUGGAGUAUGCAACCCCUGAUGAAAAAGACUGAUAAUCAUCCAAAUUUCUUGAACUUUAAGGUGAAUGAAAUAAAUAGCUGGGCAUUUGAGAAUUAUUCUUAUGGAGAAGGGAUCUUACCACUCUUUCCAUGGUUCAGAAGCAGCUAGCCUUGUGGAACUAUGGAACAGCCUACUGAAGACAUGCAUAUGGAGCCACCUGGGAACACCAGGAAUCAUGGACAUGAUCUCCUGUAGGAUGUGCUGUAUGUUCUGAACUAAUGAAAAAUAAAUGGUUCUUUUAUCCCACAAGUGAAAUAAAAGAGCCCAGACGUGAAUAAAUAAAUAUAGUUUUCACCCUCUAUAAUCAUUAUCCUUUUAAAAACGCUGGAAAUAUUGUCUUUCCUAUCCCUAAAAUUCUAAUCUGUGCUUAUUGAAAAAGCACAGUACUUAAGAAAGAAAUGUUUUCAUCAAUACUAUCAUUGAUUUGAAAGUAAUCUGACCAUUUAAGCUUUCUCAAACCACUUGUUGAAGCAAAAAAAGUGAUUAUGUGUUGUCUCAUGUGAUUGAUUUUGGUAAUCAGGAGGAAUAUACUUUCUAAUAUACUUUCUAGUCUUACAAGGAAAAGUAAAUUUGAGAAAAAGUAAUUAUUUCCAUGAUCAGAGGGAAAAAAUGAAAAAAAAUAAAGCACAUUCUAGAGUUAGGGCCUCUGAGAUCACAGAUUCUUGAAGACUGAAGGUCUGGCUUAUCCUGAGAGUUAAAACAAACAAGAAGUUCCCUUUGUGGUUCAACAUGUUAAGAACACAACAUAGUGUUCAUGAGGAUGUAAGUUCGAUCCCUGGCCUUGCUCAGUGGGUUAAGGAUAUGGCAUUGUCACAAGCUACAAUAUGGGCUUCAGAUGCAGCUGGCAUCCAGUGUUGCUGUGGCUGUGGUGUAGGCCAGCAGCUGUGGCUCCAGUUCAACCUCUGCUUCCAUAUAAAGCAGGUGUGGCCCUAAAAAGAAAAAGAACAAAACAAACAAACCAAAAACAGUUAACAGAGAUUCCUGCAGAGUUGUUAAAAGAAACUGAUAUAGGUAUUUAACAUAUAAAAUGCUCUGUAACCAGCUUUAUGAGUGAGAAACAAUGAUUCCCAGUCUUACUUUCUUCCUUGAUGUGAUAAUGACUUUUCCUCCCUUUUCAUCCAUUCUCAUAAUUUUAUUAAUGUAUAUUGUGUUGAUAUUUAAUUUUUAAAUUCAGAAAAGAACAUAAAUGCACUAUCUACAUGACUUUGAGCUGGACUACACUGGGGACACUCACACUGGGUAAAUAGUGGGUGGAUUGUUGUGGGUAUCUGUCAUUGGUUAUUGCCUAAAAUCCAACCUUCCCAAAAUAGAAUCCCAGAAUUCCUGGUAGCUAAAAUGUAGGCAGGUAAUUAAAGUUCUUCUGGUCAAAUGCACUUUCAAGAGCCUUUGGAUUGGCUAUGAAUAGCAUGAAUAAAGAGGCUUUGAAGGAUAUCAAAUUUUUACUUAUAUAUGAGAAAGAAGAAGCACCUUGAUAUCAGUUUUACCAUGAUUCUUGUUAAAUGUUUGCUGGUAUUGACUUGUGAAUUACCUGCUGUCUUCUAUUUUUUUUUUUUUAAUUAAGUAGCCAGAUGGAAUCUGCUAUUUGCAUGAACCCUGAGCAAUACUGUAUUAAUGGUUAGUUUCUUCUCAAAAUAUUUCUUUCUCCCACCUUGCUUGAAUGCAGACAUAGUGAUAAUUGAGAAAAGUUUUCUACAACAAAGGUUUGUAAAUAAUACUUUUUCUUAGUUUUUGAAAAUGUGACAACAUAUAAAUAAAGCAUAUAGCAAUACAUCUAUCAUAUAUGUUUAUAUAAGUGACAUCAUAUAUAUACAUAUGUUUAUAUAUUUAAUUUUUGUUAAUUAAUUUAAAAGGAAGGAGUAGUAUUUAGUCACUCCAUCUAGUAAUGAAUCAUACUGAAAGCACAUUUUUCAGGAGUAUAUAAGUUAAUUUUAUGCACCAUCUAAAUCUUAUUUUCACUCAUUGUUCUUUGUUUCUCAUAUGUGAUUUUACAUUACUUUUAUAGUGUAACUCACUUUAUACCUUUGUUAAUUUCUUUUUUCUUUUUUAGGGAAGAUGGUGGUUAAAAUGAACAAAGAAAACAAUUUUAAAAGUUGUCAUUUUUGGAGUUACCGUCGUGUCUCAGUGGUUAACGAAUCCGACUAAGAACCAUGAGGUUCCGGGUUCGAUACCUGGCCUCGCUCAGUGGGUUAAGGAUCCAGUGUUGCCAUGAGCUGUGGUGUAGGUUGUAGACUGGGCUCAGAUCCCACGUUGCUGUGGCUCUGGCAUAGGAUGACGGCUGCAGCUCUGAUUAGACCCCUAGCCUGGGAACCUCCAUAUGCCACAGGUGCAGCCCUAUAAAGACAAAAGACAAAAGACAGAAAAUAAAAAUAAAAAAUAAAAGUUGUCAUUUUUAAUAGAAGUGUAAUGCUAAAGUUGGAUAUUACUUUUAUUUUAUGUUUCCUAAUUAUUAGAAGAAUGUCAAAACUUUUCUCGUUUUACGUAAUAUUUCUUUUAAAUUGUUUUCCUCUUUUGCUCAUAGAAAGUUCAUAUACAUUUGUAUUGUCUUAUACCAUAUAAAAAUUGACUUAUUAUUUUAACAUAAAAAACUAUUAAAAUACAGAGUUAUUUUUCUUUAUGUAGAAAUUCUUUCCUAUGUUUUCAUAAUAUAGUUUCCCCAUAAUUAAAAUAAUAAUACAGGGGUUCCCAUUGUGGUGCAGAGGAAACAAAGGUGACUAGUAUCCAUGAAGAUGUGGGUUCAAUCCCUGGCCUUGCUCAGUGAGUCAGGGAUCCAGCAUUGCUGUGAGCUGUGGUGUAGGUCGCAGACAAGGCUAGGAUCCUGUGUUACUGUGGCUGUGGCAUAGGCCAGCAGCUGGCUGUAGCUCUGAUUUGACCCUAGGCCUGGGAACUUUGAUAUGCCAUGGGCGCAGCCCUAAAAAGCAAAACUAAUAAUAAUAGUAAUAAUAAUAAUAAUAAUAAUAAAAUAAUAAUACAGAAUAUAUUCAUUGCUUAGUGUUUAAAAUUGGAGCAAUGAUUCUGCCUCCCACCGUUAAUUAUUCUGUACUGCAACAGAAUGUCCUUUCUUAAAUGUGUUAUGAUACCAAAAAAUAAAAAAUAUGAAUUCUCAUAUCUACUCUCAACUCAUAUUUAUAUGUUGAAUAAAACAGUGUUAACCCAUGGUCAGCAUGUAUUGAAUGAUGUAUGCCUUUCAGAACCUUGUUCUUAACUAUUCUUUCAUUGUCUCUAUUUCAUAUUCUUUAUAUUUUCCUCUAUAAACAUUGUCUUAAUUUCUACUUUUUUGUUUUGAAGUUUUUUAAGUUUUCAAAAUUUAAAAAAGCAUAUUGGUUUUUUGGGGUUUUUUUUUGUUUUUGUUUUUGUUUUUUUUGUCUUUUUGCCAUUUCUAGGGCUGCUCCCGCGGCAUGCGGAGUUUCCCAGGUUAGGGGUCUAAUCUGAGCUGUAGCCGCCGGCCCAUGCCAGAGCCACAGCAACGCGGGAUCCGAGCCGCGUCUGCAACCUACACCACAGCUCAUGGCAACGCCAGAUCCUCAACCCACUGAGCGAGGCCAGGGGUCCAACCUGCAACCUCAUGGUUCCAAGCCACAAUGGGAAUUCCAAUCGUCAUUAAUUAAUGAAUGAAUUAAUAUAUCUGAAUAAUUUCCUUUUCUUUUUUUCUUUUUUUAUUUUCUUUUUACAUCUUUCUUUGUGGCUUAUGGAAAUUCCUGGCUAGGGGUCAUGUCAGAGCUGGGUCAUGUCAGAGCUGCAGCUGAGGCCUCUACCACAGCCACGGCAACACCUGAUCCAUGCCACAUCUGCAAUCUAUGCUUCAGCUUAAUGCUAAACCCUUAACCCAUUGAAUUAGGCCAAGGAUCGAACCCACAUUCUCACAGAGACAUCAUGUCCUUAAUCUACUGAGCCACAACAGGAACUCCUCUGAAUAAUUUUCAACAACAUUGUUAGUAAAUAUUAUGGUAUGUUGUGAUUGUAUUGGACUAUCUCUGUUUCUUAAUAGAAAUUCCCAGAGCACAAGCAUCUGAGUGUAAGUUCAUAUAUGAGUGUAUAUCAGGAGUUAUAUAAAUCUUGUUAAUUUCUCUUAACAUGCACAAUUUGUCACAUAAAUUUGUUGAUCAAUAAUUGUUUAAUGUCUAAUUAAUUGUGAAAAUAUAUUGAAACAAAAAAUAUCAAUGUUUUAGAUAAAUGUCUCAAAUAUUUUCAAUGAAGUGUCUUUAACAGCCAAAAAUAAAACAAUAUUUCUCAUG
rnacentral:lncRNA from 1 species